UCUUCCUCAGCAGUCUGGAGAGCAAGUGAAACGCGGACCCACAUCGGCUUGCUAAUUAAGGCUUGAAUCCCCCCGAAGGAAGCCAAAACAAACGCUUGUGGUGUCUAAAAAUGAUGUCACCAGUACCUCUUAUUUCAAUCCUUGACCUCCGACCACCUCCGUUCUGGGUGAGUGGCUCAGCCAGGAUAGCAAGUAGCUGUUAUCUGGUUGGAGUCUUGUGUUUUCUCCAUUAACCAUUAAAGGAAGCAUAUCUGAACUGCAAUGCCCUGAGAAGACGACCGUUUCCAAGACAAACACCGGUA